ACUCAGGUCCCGCUAAAAGAAUCCCACUAAUUGCAACCAGCCUCCGCGAAGUAAUACCUAAUGGUGGUCCCGCGGAGGAGAGUGGUAGAAGAAGUGUGUUUGGGGGGUAGAUUUAGUACGUAGGCGCCAUGGAUGGCGAAUCGUGCAUACUACUGGCACGGGCCGGUAGUAUCUAUGAAAAUUCCCACCCCCAGCUCGC
rfam:Glossina brevipalpis unplaced genomic scaffold Scaffold69, whole genome shotgun sequence.